rnacentral:rRNA from 1 species
AUGGGCCGGAUAGCCCGUGUGCCCGCACCGUGGUCUGCACGAAACCGCCUCUGCAACGGUAAUCUCCGCGCCACACCGCGUUGCCGACCGACCGACCGACCGACCCCUCGCCCUGCCCACCCGGUCCGCAUCAAGCCCCAACCCACCACCACCAGCUCCACUCCCCUCCGGUUUCCGCCGCCCGCCCAAGCCGCCUCCGGCAAGGACCUGGCCGGCGCCACCGCCCCUUCCCCGGCGGCCCGCCCACGGUCAGGCGCGCCCUGUCCUCCCUCCCCGCGCUCUGGCCGUGGCCCGCCGGUGUGCUCCUCCUCCCUUCGUCCGGGGCCCCGGGUCGUGCCUCCCGCCUCGCCUCGCCUCCUCGCGCCUGGUUUGGAUUCGCUCGUCCUCGAUUCGCCGCCCAGUUGCCGUCCGGUUCGAUUUUGCUCGUCGCCGUCAUCCGUGUGGAAACGCGUACGCUUCGAUUUUGCUCGUCCUCGCCGUCGUCUGUGUGGAGUAGCGUCCGAUUCAAUUUUGCUCGUCUUCGUCGUCGUCCGUGUAGAGUCGCGUCCGGUUCGAUUUCGCUCGUCCUCGCCGUUGUCCCGAUGCGCUCGCGUGUUCUUGGUCCGUCUCGCCUCGUCGGGGGUCUCCAUCUCGUUUGCGAACUACCAAUUCUUUCUUUCUGCGUGCGAUUCUGUUAUCCGAGAGGCACUCCGGGUCCUGGGUUUCGUGUUCGCGUCGGUUGCAGGAACGAACGAGGUCUGGUUUCGAAAUUGGAUUAAGGCCGGAGACGGGGAGCGAUGUUCGUUUAUCGUGCUAGUUCAGACCGGUUCCUCGGUUACGUCACCUGCGUUGCUCUCUUGUGAUACUCUGUCAAUUCUUGGCCCUCUGUCAGUUCUUGUUGGCCCUCUGUCAAUUCUUGAGUUCUUGUUGUACCGGUUAGGCCUUUGCCUUAAUAUUGAUUCUGAGCUUGUUGGAUCAUUGAACUUCUGCAUGCGCUUCUGUUAUCUGAGAGACACUCAUGAUCCCGCAUUUCGUGUUUGCGGCGGAGCGAUGAACGAUUACGUUUUGCGUUCCUGCGUUUUGUGUUCGCCGUCUGGUUUUGAAUUUGGAUUACGGAGACGGGGAGAGGCCAGAGUAAGGUACAGACUUGUGGAUCUGGACAUGUCACAUUUGCUCUUUAUUGGGUUGCUAAGGACACUGAACAGUUUGGCUGGGCCACUGCACGACCUGGCUAAUCAGAAUGCCUGCAUCAUGCUUGUCAUCUUGUGGAAGAAAUCAUCCAUUGAAUUUACUGGUAUUCCAGUGUCUUCAUUGAUUAGAGAGAAGCUUGCAGAACUGUGUGAAUCCGAACAACAAUGGUUGAGAGCAGCACAAAUGCUUAGUGGCAUUGACUUGGACUCAGGAAUCAGGUUGAAACAAGCUUUUGUCUCUCUUUACAUGUCACUGGAUUUUCUAAGUCCGGGAAAUCUGACCAUCUUCUUAAAAACCAGGAUGCUUGAUGACACAAACAAAUUAUCCAAGUGCGUCCAGAUUGAACGACGCUAUUUGGAGGAUGAUGAUGCAGUGAAUGCUGAAGCUUUUAUCAACAAAGCCUCGUUUUUGGUCACAAACAGCAACCAGGAAGUCUGCUAUGCGAGUAAAUUCUUGGAAGCUUCAAUUCGAUACUAUGGGUAUCUGAGCAACGCCAAAUUGGGGAUGAAUCUAGACAUGAUGCUGAUGGGUUGGGUUUGCAUACAAUGCAGUAUGGACCAACAAAAUGGUCUCAUUGCAAGGUGGACAUAUAGGCAAGAAAUGUCAAGAGAGAGAGAAGCUUGGACUAUUGAGAAGGAACAUGCAUUGAUUAAUGCCCAUCGGGUAUAUGGGAAUAGAUGGCCAGAAAUAGCAAAAGUUCUUCCUAGAAGGAAUCGGGUACUUCUAUUUGUUCUUAGGUUCUUCUCGCCUAGAGCUAAAGUCAAAGACGACAAAACCAAGUGGAUUAUUGGAGUUACAAGAUACACAAAAUCAUCGGAACGAAGAUCUGAAUCACCCUCCCGCCUCGAGAGAAAUCAGUUUAGUCAUCCAGAUCUAGACAUGAUGCUGAUGGGUUGGGUUUGCAUACAAUGCAGUAUGGACCAACAAAAUGGUCUCAUUGCAAGGUGGACAUAUAGGCAAGAAAUGUCAAGAGAGAGAGAAGCUUGGACUAUUGAGGAGGAACAUGCACUGAUUAAUGCCCAUCGGGUAUAUGGGAAUAGAUGGGCAGAAAUAGCAAAAGUUCUUCCUAGAAGGAAUCGGGUACUUCUAUUUGUUCUUAGGUUCUUCUCACCUAUAGCUAAAGUCAAAGACGACAAAACCAAGUGGAUUAUUGGAGUUACAAGAUACACAAAAUCAUCAGAACGAAGAUCUGAAUCACCCUCCCGCCUCGAGAGAAAUCAGUUUAGUCAUCCAGAUCUAGACAUGAUGCUGAUGGGUUGGGUUUGCAUACAAUGCAGUAUGGACCAACAAAAUGGUCUCAUUGUAAGGUGGACAUAUAGGCAAGAAAUGUCAAGAGAGAGAGAAGCUUGGACUAUUGAGGAGGAACAUGCACUGAUUAUUGCCCAUCGGGUAUAUGGGAAUAGAUGGGCAGAAAUAGCAAAAGUUCUUCCUAGAAGGAAUCGGGUACUUCUAUUUGUUCUUAGGUUCUUCUCACCUAUAGCUAAAGUCAAAGACGACAAAACCAAGUGGAUUAUUGGAGUUACAAGAUACACAAAAUCAUCGGAACGAAGAUCUGAAUCACCCUCCCGCCUCGAGAGAAAUCAGUUUAGUCAUCCAGUAUUGUAUUUUGACAAUGACUGGGUGUGGCUUGACUGUGUCUGUGGCUUGUAUGCUUUGCUGAAUGAUUGGUUGUUGUGGCUUUACACUGCCUCUGCCGGUCCCAAGCCCGGAUGUGAAAAUGUGGAGGGAGUCUGUUUCUUGUGUGCAAGUGCUACAUUUAUGGACCAACAAUAUAGGCAAGAAAUGUCAAGAGAGAGAGAAGCUUCGACUAUUGAGGAGGAACAUGCACUGAUUAAUGCCCAUCGGGUAUAUGGGAAUAGAUGGGCAGAAAUAGCAAAAGUUCUUCCUAGAAGGAAUCGGGUACUUCUAUUUGUUCUUAGGUUCUUCUCACCUAUAGCUAAAGUCAAAGACGACAAAACCAAGUGGAUUAUUGGAGUUACAAGAUACAGAAAAUCAUCGGGUGCUGCUCAUGAGGAACGAAGAUCUGAAUCACCCUCCCGCCUCGAGAGAAAUCAGUUUAGUCAUUCAGGUUCUGACAUGAUGCUGAUGGGUUGGGUUUGCAUACAAUGCAGUAUGGACCAACAAAAUGGUCUCAUUACAAGGUGGACAUAUAGGCAAGAAAUGUCAAGAGAGAGAGAAGCUUGGACUAUUGAGGAGGAACAUGCACUGAUUAAUGCCCAUCGGGUAUAUGGGAAUAGAUGGGCAGAAAUAGCAAAAGUUCUUCCUAGAAGGUUCGUCUCACCUAUACCUAAAGUCAAAGACGACAAAACCAAGUGGAUUAUUGGAGUUACAAGAUACACAAAAUCAUCGGAACGAAGAUCUGAAUCACCCUCCCGCCUCAAGAGAAAUCAGUUUAGUCAUUCAGGUUCUGUAUGGACCAACAAAAUGGUCUCAUUGCAAGGUGGACAUAUAGGCAAGAAAUGUCAAGAGGGGUACUCUUUUGAUUGUUUUAUAAGGACUGUGCUAACGACCAGUCGACUGGUCGUUAGCAACAGAUCCGCACAAUCCUACUCCAUCUUUCUUCUCCGACCUCCACGACCAGUCGACUGGUCGUUAGCAACAGAUCUGCACGAUCCUACUCCAUCUUUCUUCUCCGACCUCCCAAAGUAG